GGUUAAUAAAAGGCUGAACAGCUAAUGACUGGGCAGAGAAGAUAGAAAUGCUGGAAUUCUGAUCCCAGCCAGGGAUCUUCCGAGGGAGAAGAGCCAGGAGAAUGAGUUCACAAUAAGGCAGAAGAUGGUCUAGCGGAAGAAAUUGGCCACAAGGAAGGUGGAGGAAGGAAGAAGAGGAGAGGGAAGAGGAGGUCACCAUGAGGCUGGGCAUGAGGAGGAGUCAACAAGGAAGUUCUCCAUGAGGACAGACAUGGAGCAGAGCAAGUCAAGGAGAGACAAAAUAUAGGUCCCCCCUGCUGACUUGAGCCUAGGCUGAGGCCUGUCUGCCACUGCUGUUGUUAACCUGACUUACAGAACUAGAUUGCUGACUGCUGGUGUAUCUGUAAAGUUUUUGUGAGUGGAUCCAGAUGCUGCAGCCUGCUAAACUGUGAACUGACCUGCUGAUUUCCAGAUAACACAGAUGGAAAUUGCUCCAAAGAACCUUUCUAAACAGGUCCACUUCCCUGUAUCCUCUCUUUUCCAUUACCUCUGGUGGGUGGUGGGCUACAAGGGAGUUUAAAGCAUUUAAGAACCA
rnacentral:lncRNA from 1 species